CGGAAACACGGUGCCGGAUAACGUCCGGCGAGGGCGACCUCAGGGAAAGUGCCACAGAAAGCAAACCGCCUGUCAUGACAGGUAAGGGUGAAAGGGUGGGGUAAGAGCCCACCGCAUCUCCGGCAACGGAAAUGGCACGGUAAACCCCACCGGGAGCAAGACCGAAUAGGGAUGACGCGGCAGGCCGAAAGGCCUUCCGGCUGGUUUCCAGGCCAGUCAUCCGGGUGGGUUGCGCGAGGCAGCGUGCGAACGCUGUCCCAGAGGAAUGGCUGCCACGUUCCGGUUCACGCCGGAG
rnacentral:misc_RNA from 1 species